ACCAUCCUAAGGUAGCGAAAUUCCUUGUCGGGUAAGUUCCGACCUGCACGAAUGGAGUAACGAUUUGGGCGCUGUCUCCACCACGAACCCGGUGAAAUUGCAUUACGAGUAAAGAUGCUCGUUACGCGCAGCAGGACGGAAAGACCCCGGGACCUUUACUAUAGUUUGGUAUUGGUGAUCGGUGUGACUUGUGUAGGAUAGGUGGGAGACUGUGAAGCCGGGACGCUAGUUUCGGUGGAGUCGCCGUUGAAAUACCACUCUGGUCACUCUGGUUAUCUAACCUAGGACCGUUAUCCGGUUCAGGGACAGUGCCUGAUGGGUAGUUUGACUGGGGCGGUCGCCUCCUAAAAGGUAACGGAGGCGCCCAAAGGUUCCCUCAGCCUGGUUGGCAAUCAGGUAGCGAGUGUAAGUGCACAAGGGAGCUUGACUGCGAGACUGACGGGUCGAGCAGGGACGAAAGUCGGGACUAGUGAUCUUCUGGUAGCGAAUGGAAGCGCCAGGACUCAACGGAUAAAAGGUACCCCGGGGAUAACAGGCUGAUCUUGCCCGAGCGUCCAUAGCGACGGCAUGGUUUGGCACCUCGAUGUCGGCUCGUCGCAUCCUGGGGCUGGAGUCGGUCCCAAGGGUUGGGCUGUUCGCCCAUUAAAGCGGCACGCGAGCUGGGUUUAGAACGUCGUGAGACAGUUCGGUCCCUAUCCGCUGCGCGCGUAGGAGUCUUGAGAAGGGCUGUCCUUAGUACGAGAGGACCGGGACGGACCAACCUCUGGUGUGCCAGUUGUUCCGCCAGGAGCACGGCUGGUUGGCUACGUUGGGAAGUGAUAACCGCUGAAAGCAUCUAAGCGGGAAGCACGCUUCAAGAUGAGGACUCCCACACCAUCAAGGUGGUAAGGCCCCCUGCAGACCACAGGGUCGAUAGGUCGGACGUGGAAGCACAGUAAUGUGUGAAGCUGACCGAUACUAAUAGGCCGAGGGCUUGCCACA
rnacentral:rRNA from 1 species